CCACUAGCCCUCGACUCGUAGCUUCCAUGGAUGGACUCCCUUGUUCCAAGAUUUAGUUUUGUUUUUAGAACCAGAAUCAAAUCUUUCUUUCUCGCUAUUCAGUCUGUCGCGGAUUUUUGCCUGCAACUGAUCUGAAUCUACCUGUGAAUGGUUUUUUUUGUUCUGCACCCAAGAUCGACAUAAAUUGACACCUCCAAGAUGCAGCGGCAGUUUAUUUUCGAAAUGUUUUGGGGGUUCAACUGUAGGAUCAGUAGUUCGUCCGUCCUUGUCUGCAUGACUCUUCGAUGUUAAUUGCUUUCUGCAAACAUACUCACUUUGGGCAGAUAGCUUAAGCCUGGAGCUCGUGAUUAUUUGUUGACUUUCUGUACAACCAUCCUGGUCGGCUAGAACUUGAAAUUUCAAUGGCAGUCACUCCGUAUUGUUGAGAGUAGCUCCAAAUGGGUGGCAACUUGCUUUGCUGGCUGGAAGGUGGUUGUAUUGUUGAACCUGGAAAUCGGAUGCAUCUGGGCUGUGUAUACUUUUUCCACCUCACAAUUCCUCACCCCCUCUCUACCAAAUGGUUGCUGCCUCUUCGUGCAAGUGGUUGUGGAGUCCAUCUUCAUGCCUGGUGCAGCCAAUACACUCGCAACCAGCAGCCUGGAAACCCUUACCAGCAACUCAUGGAUCGUCACCAUUGACUGGCCAGUGUCAGCACCAUGCACUCCCUUGCCAUCACUAAGCGGGAGCAACUUCUCAAUCGUUUCAGUCAGAUUCAGAUGCAUGUCUGUAUCACCCUCGUCAUUGGCAGAGGCAUCCCCUGAAUGGAUUUUUUCACUGAGUAUGGUGAGGGAAGCAGGUACAAGAUAGAAGAGGUCAUAGGAAAAGGAAGUUACGGUGUGGUUUGCUCUGCUUUGGACACUCACACUGGUGAAAAGGUUGCAAUAAAGAAGAUAAAUGAAAUAUUUGAACAUGUGUCUGAUGCAACACGUAUACUUCGUGAGAUCAAGCUGCUUCGGCUCCUGCGACAUCCGGAUAUUGUAGAAAUAAAACAUAUUUUACUUCCUCCAUCAAGGAGGGAAUUCAAGGAUAUAUAUGUUGUGUUUGAACUCAUGGAGUCUGAUUUACACCAAGUUAUAAAGGCUAAUGAUGACUUAACUCCAGAACACUAUCAAUUUUUCCUGUAUCAAUUACUUCGAGGAUUGAAGUACAUACAUACAGCAAAUGUGUUUCACCGAGACCUAAAACCAAAAAAUAUUUUGGCCAAUGCUGAUUGCAAGCUUAAAAUAUGUGAUUUUGGACUUGCAAGAGUAGCUUUCAAUGAUACUCCUACUGCCAUCUUCUGGACGGAUUAUGUUGCAACAAGAUGGUACCGAGCUCCUGAGCUGUGUGGAUCUUUUUUCUCUAAGUAUACUCCAGCAAUAGAUAUAUGGAGCAUUGGCUGUAUAUUUGCAGAGCUUUUAACUGGAAAACCUCUCUUCCCUGGGAAAAAUGUGGUACAUCAACUUGAUAUAAUUACAGAUCUCCUGGGAACACCAUCUCCUGAAGCAAUCUCUAGGAUUCGAAAUGAGAAGGCCAAGCGCUACCUGAGCAGUAUGAGGCGGAAAAGGCCUAUACCACUUACUCAGAAAUUUCCAAAUGCAGAUCCACUUGCAUUACGUUUAUUGGAGAAGAUGCUAGCUUUUGAUCCAAAAGAUAGGCCAAGCGCAGAGGAGGCCCUUGCUGAUCCAUAUUUCAAGAACAUAGCCAAUGUGGAUAGAGAACCAUCAGCACAGCCUGUGACAAAGCUGGAAUUUGAGUUUGAGAGGCGGAGGAUUACCAAAGAAGAUAUAAGGGAACUCAUUUACAGAGAAAUUCUGGAGUAUCAUCCAAAUAUGUUGAGAGAAUUCCUUGAGGGGACAGAGUCAACUGGUUUCAUGUACCCAAGUGCUGUGGAUCAUUUUAAGAAGCAAUUUGCAUAUCUUGAAGAACACUAUGCAAAGGGAUCAACAGCAGCUCCACCUGAGAGGCAACACAACUCUCUUCCAAGGCCUUGUGUGUUAUAUUCGGAUAAUCUAACUAAAAGCACAGCCAAUGUCAUGGAGGAUCUUUCCAAGUGUGUAAUCAGAGAUGAAACGCAGAGGGGACAGCUAGAUUCUUCCUCUAUCGGUGCAAAUAGAGUUCCUCAAGGUGAGCACGUGUAGCCUCCAAAAGCUAUUGGCGCAUCAUCAUGGCUAACAACAUAAAGUAAUAUAUUUUUGCUAUACAUCAAUAAUCUUCAGAACUUGCAGCAGAAUCAGUGACAGGUGGUGCUUCAAGGCCUGCUAGAGUGGUUGGUUCUGCAAUGCGAUAUGGUAACAGUUCAUCAUCUGGUACCUACCAAUAUGAACAGAGGACAGCUAAAAACCCAGCAAUUGGUGCUACUGGUGUUUCACCUAGGGGCUCAUACUCUAGAACAAUUCCUACCUGCAAGAGCGAAACAAGCGAGGCUGACAGGAUUGAUGCAAGUCAAACUAGACAGCCCAAGCCAUACAUCCCAAACAAACUACCUACUACAGUAGAUGGCCGGAAUGGUCAUUGGUAGGUUUACCUGCAAUCUACCAGCAAACUUAACAAAAAUAUCUGCAGAUCUCUGAGACAUCCUGACGCAGUUAAAGAUGACAUUCUGUACAGAGUGAACAUUUUUCAGGGACACAGUCAGAGCUGAACUGUAAUAGAAGCAGGCUUGAUGGGCUGCUUGGUUCCACGUAGAUUUGGCCUUCGCUAGCUGAUUGAUGAUUCAGAUUAAUCAUGUACGGUGUAUAGUAAAAAUAUUGUGGUAGGCAGCAAGAGGCUGCUAGCCUGCUACUGACGUAGAAACUAUACACGCUGUCUGAUCGUUUUUGUAACUAUACACGUAGAAACUAUAUACUGUUUCUUGUAGCUGUCCAUUCAAAUGUAGCAACAAUCAGCUAUUUAGUUUUACAAUGGAAUCUUAGAAGACGUCAAUUUGUGUACAUGUAUCAAGCUUUCUCUG